rnacentral:lncRNA from 1 species
GUCUUUUUAAAACAUCUAGCCAUUUAGUUACAUUUUCAGCAUAUCAAAAUACAUUUAUUUUUUUCCGUAACUGUGUAUUUAGGGGAAGAGAAGAUUUCUUAUAAUUGAAAUCAUUGAAGGCUAAAUUUUGAUUCCCUGGGCACAUUCUCUUAACUGUGGCAGAGGUACCUGUCAUGUGAUUUACACAGUGAAUGGCCCUGCUUUUGGAGCAAGUUAAUGUUAUAAUAUCCCCAUUUAUAUUCAGAACAGUCAACACUUUUGAGCUCUCAGAAUAAUAAAAGCACCUGCAUUUAAUAUACAUGGAAGAAUGGAAAGGCAAAUAGCAGAUAAGGCACAAUCAGACAUCUCCAAAUUUUAGUGAAAUCUGCUCGACACUUCUGAAUGCCUCUACGUCUCCAUGAUGGAUCAGAAAUAUGCAUAUCUCUACAAGGAUAGCAUGGAAGAAAAGAACUGUCUCUAGGGGCACACAGGUGGCUGCUCUGUGGACAUGUGCCAUCCGAACACGUUCCAGACAACAUAAGCUAAUUCUGGCUAGAAUUUAUUGAUGAAGACUCAGAUCUUGAAAUCUGAAUUUAAAACAACCAGCUUUUGGAUGAGCCAGACCAAGGACCCCCAGGGACCUUAGAAGCAGAAGAUAAUGGACCUUUUCUAUAGAACAUUGGACUCUUUGUUUCUCACCUUUAGUGGCCUGAUGUCAAAUGGGUCAUCUUAGUCAAGAAGGCAGGCAGGACCAUGUAUUACAAGCCUAAUUGCUGGGGAUUUUUCUGUAUCUGAAGCAAUUAUAGGCAAAGGGAAUGUUUAGAAGUAAUAAAAUUUUAAGACUUUAAGGGUGAAUGACAGAUAAACUACACAUAUUUAAAGUAUAUAAUUUGGUAUAUUUUGACAUGUGUGUAUACACACCAGGAAACUAUCACCAUAAUGAAGAAAAUGAAGAUAUCCAUAUCUCUGCUGGUUUCCUUUCGUCCUUUUUUCUUUCUUCUCUCUCAGUCCUGUGUCCCUCUUCCUGUACCCAGGCAUCAGCUGACCUGCUUCUGUCAUUGUGGAUUAGUUUGCACUUUCUAGAAUUUUACUUAAAUGGGAUCAUAAGUUCUUUUCUGACUUUUUUCAUUCAGUGUAAUUAUUUUGAGACUUAUCCAUGCUGUAGUAUUUAUCAGUACCUUAUUGCUUUUUAUGGGUGAUUAAUGUUCCAUUGGCUGGCUAUACUAUAGUUUAUUCAUUAAGCUGUUGAUGACAUUAGGGUUCUAGUUUGAGGCUAUUACUGAUAAAGUUGGUAUGAAUAUUUACAUGCAAGUGUUUUCUUUUAGACAUUUGUUUUCAUUUCUCUUGAGUAAAACCUAGGAGUAGAAUGGCCUGGUAAUCCUGUAGGUGGGUGUUUUACUUUUUCAUCAACUGCCAAGAAGUUUUUCAAAGUGGUUGUAUAAUUUUCUAUUCCUACUGGCAACAUGUGAGAGUUCUGGUUCUCUAUCAUCACUAGCACUUGGUUAUAUCCAGGACUUACUUUUUUUUUAUUAAGUUUAUUGGUACAUUUUAGGUAUACAAUACAGUUACUUUCACCAUUGGUAUCUUGUACCUUUACAUGAUAUAUAUUGGUUCUUAUUUUUUCCCCCUUCUCCUGCCAUCCCUUCAACCCCUCCACCCUUCCCUAUUUACAAAGACUUUGUUUCCAUUUUUUCAUUUUCUCAUAAUUUUUCCUUUCCCUUCUUUCCUUUCCCCUACCCCUCCCACUUUCCCUUCCUCCUUUGAACCUUUUCUUCCUAUUUCACGUUAUCAAUCAUACAUUUUGAUCCUUAUUUAUACUUUUAGUUUCUCACACCAGAGAAACUAUUUGGUAUUUACAUAUGCAUGCCCUGUUUAUUUCACUUAAGAGUUGCAUAUCGAGGCCAUACUUUAAGUGAAAUAAAUGGGACACAUGUGUAAAUAGCGAAUAGUUUCUGUAGUGUGAGAAACUGAUAGUGUAAAUAAGAGUUAAAAUGAUUAAAAUGAAUAAUUGAUAAUUUGAAAUAGGAAGAAAGGUCCAAAGACGAAGGAGUGAAGGGAGGGGAAGGGGAAAAGAAAAGAGGGAAAGGAAAAACUAUGAGAAAAGAAAAAAAAAUGGAAAUGAAAUCUAUGUAAAUAGGGAAGGGCGGAACGGGUGAAGGGCGCACUAGUAAUGGGGAAAAAAAAUAAGAACCAAGAUACAUCAUGUACAGAUACAAACACCCAAU